GCGGGGCUGCGGGAUGCGGCAGGUUAUACGUAUUCCCCGGGGCCUUAACGAUCCUUAGGGAGCUGUACCUAUCCGGACUCGUGGGUCCGGGUACACGGCGCCCACCUACUUAUGUAGGUUCCCGGGAUCGACACUCCACCGGUCUUCGCGGCUCCGCA
rnacentral:other from 1 species